AACGAACGCUGGCGACAGGCUUAACACAUGCAAGUCGAGCGCCCCGCAAGGGGAGCGGCAGACGGGUGAGUAACGCGUGGGAAUCUACCCAACCCUACGGAAUAACGCAUGGAAACGUGUGCAAAUACCGUAUACGCCCUACGGGGGAAAGAUUUAUCGGGGAUGGAUGAGCCCGCGGUGGAUUAGCUAGUUGGUGGGGUAAAGGCCUACCAAGGCGACGAUCCAUAGCUGGUCUGAGAGGAUGAUCAGCCACAUUGGGACUGAGACACGGCCCAAACUCCUACGGGAGGCAGCAGUGGGGAAUAUUGGACAAUGGGCGCAAGCCUGAUCCAGCCAUGCCGCGUGAGUGAUGAAGGCCCUAGGGUUGUAAAGCUCUUUCACCGAUGAAGAUAAUGACGGUAGUCGGAGAAGAAGCCCCGGCUAACUUCGUGCCAGCAGCCGCGGUAAUAC
rnacentral:rRNA from 1 species